rnacentral:rRNA from 1 species
GACGAACGCUGGCGGCGUGCUUAACACAUGCAAGUCGAACGGAAAGGCCCUGCUUUUGUGGGGUGCUCGAGUGGCGAACGGGUGAGUAACACGUGAGUAACCUGCCCUUGACUUUGGGAUAACUUCAGGAAACUGGGGCUCAUACCGGGUAGGAGCUCCUGCUGCAUGGUGGGGGUUGGAAAGUUUCGGCGGUGGGGGAUGGACUCGCGGCUUAUCAGCUUGUUGGUGGGGUAGUGGCUUACCAAGGCUUUGACGGGUAGCCGGCCUGGGCGGGUGACCGGCCACAUUGGGACUGCGAUACGGCCCAGACUCCUACGGGAGGCAGCAGUGGGGAAUAUUGCGCAAUGGGCGGAAGCCUGAGGCAGCAGCGCCGCGUGCGGGAUGACGGCCUUCGGGUUGUAAACCGCUUUCGCCUGUGACGAAGCGUGAGUGACGGUAAUGGGUAAAGAAGCACCGGCUAACUACGUG